GUUCCACGCUACAUUAUAUUUAAGUGCUCACAUAUUCAUAGUCUAAUUAUUGUGCCACUGGUUAUAACAAGUUGGCAUGAUAGGCCAUGAUAGGACGUAAUUUUUAAGAUAUCCAGAGACCAAGCGUCCCACAUGUGAGCCAGACAUCCCCAUAGACCAAUACAAAAGUAUCAAGCCUCUAAAAUAGACCAGUGAUUUUUCAUGGCAAUAAUAGUGGCAUGCAAACAGCGGCGCAAAUAUGGGACGUCAGUCUAUUUGAGGUGCCCCGAGCGGCGCAUAUUUGGGACGCCGGUGCACGGGAAGAAACCGUGCGGCUCAUAUUUGAGCCGGCUGGUCUGUAGGUAUACGACUUUUCUUAACAUGGUGGUAGCGAACGUGUUAAUAUAUGUUCUAAAAGUAAGCUAUUUUUGCAGAGUAAACAUGGCAAAUUAUUCCUUCCUCUCUGUUCUCAGCCAUCUGCUUCGGGCGGCCCCUUUUUCAAGUCAAGUCAAACAUGGCAAAUUAUGACUUUCUUGGAGGAGAAACAAGUAGUUAAGUUAUUAAGUACUUUGUUAUUAUAGUUGUGAUGAAAAUAAUUUUAUUAUCGUUUUCCUAACUUUCUUGUUGAUUUUUAUUUGUUAAAAUAUAAUAUCAAUGUUUAUUUUUGCAAUAUUGAUAUCAACGUUUAUACGUCGAUAUUUAUAAUUCAUUGGUUUUCCAGCGUUAUGCUUAUGGAAGUGCAAUUCUAAUCUUUGUGCUAAGGGUUAAGAGUUUGUGAAUUAAGGUUACAAAAAAGUAGAAGAGUAAACUUAAUAGUGAAAAAAAACUCACCUGUGUAACUCGUUCCCGAAGAGCCUCCCGAAGAAUCGUAGAGUGUGCAGAGUGUGGAAUCUGCGGCAGUUGACGUUUCUUGGGCGAUGUGAUGGGGGUAGCGGUAGCGGACCUGGAGGAAAAGCGAGGCACAUACGCAUGGGAUGGAAGCACAACACUCGGCUGGUAGAUUCUAAAAUGUGAAAAGCUUCCGAGGCUGCUGACAGAUGCUCCGUCUGCUACCCUCCUUUCCCGCGCAUCGUCCAGGUCUGAUGGAUCAGAGUCCGAAAGGCGUGAUGUGGUGCUAGGCGGUGAUAGGUGGUCUGUGGGCGUUAACGCAAUAUCUACAUCCUCCACCGCCUACAAACAACGUGAACAUGUCUUUCCUCUUCACUUCUGCAUAACUUAUUUAUGUAUUAAUAACAUACAAAAAUAUGGAUUAAAAUCAAAAAGUCAUUUAGGGGAGGAAUUGGGAAUAUCUUCUUAUAAUCAAACUCAACAACAAAUUCAAAUUCAAAACAAGAUUUAUAUGAUAUCUAGAAAUACUUAAAAGAGUUUUUACACAAUUUCAAGUAGCUAGUUGUCAUGUAGUAACCAAUACUGUAUACUAGUUUCUAAAUACAUCUUUUUCCUAUUUUAAUUUCUGUUGAAUAAUUAAAUAUUUCGAUUUUCAAAUUUAA